rnacentral:tRNA from 1 species
GCUCUUCUAGUAUAAGGUGAAUAUGCUGGUCUUGUAAACCAGAGUUGGUGGUAAGCCGGAGAGUU